UACAUGGGGUGCAAACGUUGCUCGGAAUUAUUGGGCGUAAAGCGCACGUAGGCGGUUUGUUAAGUCGGAUGUGAAAUCCCUCGGCUCAACUGAGGAAGUGCAUCCGAAACUGGCAGGCUUGAGUACUAAAGAGGGUCGCGGAAUUCCCGGUGUAGCGGUGAAAUGCGCAGAUAUCAGGAGGAACACCGGUGGCGAAGGCGGAUCUCUGGGCCGAUACUGGCGCUGAGGAGCGAAAGCGUGGGGAGCGAACAGG
rnacentral:rRNA from 1 species